GUGAACCUUUACUAUAGCUUGACACUGAACAUUGAGCCUUGAUGUGUAGGAUAGGUGGGAGGCUUUGAAGUGUGGACGCCAGUCUGCAUGGAGCCGACCUUGAAAUACCACCCUUUAAUGUUUGAUGUUCUAACGUGGACCCGUUACCCGGGUUGCGGACAGUGUCUGGUGGGUAGUUUGACUGGGGCGGUCUCCUCCUAAAGAGUAACGGAGGAGCACGAAGGUUGGCUAAUCCUGGUCGGACAUCAGGAGGUUAGUGCAAUGGCAUAAGCCAGCUUGACUGCGAGCGUGACGGCGCGAGCAGGUGCGAAAGCAGGUCAUAGUGAUCCGGUGGUUCUGAAUGGAAGGGCCAUCGCUCAACGGAUAAAAGGUACUCCGGGGAUAACAGGCUGAUACCGCCCAAGAGUUCAUAUCGACGGCGGUGUUUGGCACCUCGAUGUCGGCUCAUCACAUCCUGGGGCUGAAGUAGGUCCCAAGGGUAUGGCUGUUCGCCAUUUAAAGUGGUACGCGAGCUGGGUUUAGAACGUCGUGAGACAGUUCGGUCCCUAUCUGCCGUGGGCGCUGGAGAACUGAGGGGGGCUGCUCCUAGUACGAGAGGACCGGAGUGGACGCAUCACUGGUGUUCGGGUUGUCAUGCCAAUGGCACUGCCCGGUAGCUAAAUGCGGAAGAGAUAAGUGCUGAAAGCAUCUAAGCACGAAACUUGCCCCGAGAUGAGUUCUCCCUGAGACUUUAGGUCUCCUGAA
rnacentral:rRNA from 1 species